UACGGGGGGAGCAAGCGUUGUUCGGAUUUACUGGGCGUAAAGGGCGCGUAGGCGGCCACGACAAGUCACUUGUGAAAUCUCCGGGCUUAACUCGGAAAGGUCAAGUGAUACUGUCGGGCUAGAGUACAGAAGGGCAACUGGAAUUCUCGGUGUAGCGGUGAAAUGCGUAGAUAUCGAGAGGAACACCUGCGGCGAAGGCAGGUCUCUGGGCCACUACUGACGCUGAGAAGCGAAAGCAUGGGGAGCGAACAGG
rnacentral:rRNA from 1 species